rfam:Saccharomonospora xinjiangensis XJ-54 genomic scaffold Sacxiscaffold_2, whole genome shotgun sequence.
CUUCACCGAGCCGAGCCAUAGCGGCCGGUCCUCCGACCGGCCCCGGCCGUAGGUGGCGAGCAGCGCCUGCGCCUC